rnacentral:rRNA from 1 species
ACCGGCUAACUCCGUGCCAGCAGCCGCGGUAAUACGGAGGGUGCAAGCGUUGUUCGGAUUCACUGGGUAUAAAGGGUGCGCAGGCGGCUUGAUAAGUCAGGGGUGAAAUAUGACGGCUUAACCGUCAAACUGCCCCUGAAACUGUCAGGCUUGAGUUCGAGAGAGGUAGGUGGAAUUCCAGGUGUAGCGGUGAAAUGCGUAAAUAUCUGGAGGAACACCGGUGGCGAAGGCGGCCUACUGGCUCGAUACUGACGCUCAGGCACGAAAGCAUGGGGAGCGAACGGGAUUAGAUACCCCGGUAGUCCAUGCCGUAAACGAUGGGUACUAGGUGUUGGAGGAUUCUACCCCUUCAGUGCCGCAGCUAACGCAUUAAGUACCCCACCUGGGGAGUACGAUCGCAAGGUUGAAACUCAAAGGAAUUGACGGGGGCCCGCACAAGCGGUGGAGCAUGUGGUUUAAUUCGAUGCAACGCGAAGAACCUUACCUGGGCUUGACAUGCAGGGGACAGAUGUAGAAAUACAUCCUUCUUCGGACUCCUGUACAGGUGCUGCAUGGCUGUCGUCAGCUCGUGUCGUGAAAUGUUAAGUCCCGCAACGAGCGCAACCCUUGUCUUUAGUUGCCAUCAGGUUAUGCUGGGGACUCUAGAGAGACUGCCGGUGACAAACCGGAGGAAGGUGGGGACGACGUCAAGUCAUCAUGGCCCUUACGCCCAGGGCUACACACGUGCUACAAUGGUCGGUACAAAGGGCAGCAAUACAGCGAUGUGGAGCGAAUCCCAAAAAGCCGGCCUCAGUUCGGAUCGUAGUCUGCAACUCGACUACGUGAAGUUGGAAUCGCUAGUAAUCGCGUAUCAGAACGACGCGGUGAAUACGUUCCCGGGCCUUGUACACACCGCCCGUCAAGUCAACCGAGUUGGCUGCACCCCAAGUCGCUGAGCUAACCCCUUCGGGGGAGGCAAGUGCCCAAGGUGUGGUUGGCGAGGGGGACUAAGUCGUAACAAGGUAGCCGUAUCGGAAGGUGCGGCUG